AGAGCGAACGCUGGCGGCAGGCCUAAUACAUGCAAGUCGAACGAGCCCUUCGGGGCUAGUGGCGGACGGGUGAGUAAUACGUGGGAACGUGCCUUUUGGUUCGGAACAACUCAGGGAAACUUGAGCUAAUACCGAAUGUGCCCUUCGGGGGAAAGAUUUAUCGCCAUUAGAGCGGCCCGCGUCUGAUUAGCUAGUUGGUGAGGUAAAGGCCCACCAAGGCUACGAUCAGUAGCUGGUCUGAGAGGAUGAUCAGCCACACUGGGACUGAGACACGGCCCAGACUCCUACGGGAGGCAGCAGUAGGGAAUCUUGCGCAAUGGGCGAAAGCCUGACGCAGCCAUGCCGCGUGAAUGAUGAAGGUCUUAGGAUUGUAAAAUUCUUUCAGCGGGACGAUAAUGACGGUACCGCAGAAGACGCCCGGCUAACUUCGCGCCAGCAGCCGC
rnacentral:rRNA from 1 species